rnacentral:misc_RNA from 1 species
GAAAGUUGGUAAGGGGAACAUGUGGCAUUGAUUAUGAUGGUGGCAUGACAAAACUUAUAAGGGUUAGAGAAAGAGUUAAUCACAAUCAAUUGAUAGAGAAAAUAUCAACUGCAAUGAAGAUAGGAUUGAAUCAAAAAGUGUCUAAGGUCAUAUACAGAUAUCCUGUUACAACACAAGGUUUCCGAAUUUUGUACAGCUUGACAUUGAAGAUGAUGAUAGAGUUGAGUUUAUGUUUGAAAUAUUUGAUAAGAUUCCCGGAUUUCUUUGUAUUCAACUGUAUGU